rnacentral:lncRNA from 1 species
AUUUCCUUGAUUUAGUAAUGAUAUUGCUCAUAGAAAUUGAUAAUGUGAAGAAUAACAAUACAGGAACAUAGAAUAACAAGAAAGAAAUUCUAGCAGCAAGUUAGGUUAUGAGAUAAAUUUUAUUUAUAUAGUUUGUUUAAAGAGUUUAGUUUGAAAAAAAGUUAAAACAAUUAUUAUUGUCCAGGUCAUAUUUGAUAACUGUUGUUAAUUGAUAACAUAUUACAGGGACACAGUAAAAAGACAAAACAUUUAGACCCUUUGAAAGAGAAAUGUUUGUACGAUGUACAAUGCAGGCAAUAUUUCUGCCUCCUAACGCACUAUUCGCGUAAAAGAAGAUAACAGAUUUAUUAUUAGUUGGCUAGUGUGUUAGUAGGAUAGCCAUUGGUAGUUAUAAAGUAUGAAGUCGUCAGGUAUUAAUAAUAGGAAUUGAUCAAAGCUUAUACAUUUAUUGUGAUAUUUAUAUUGUGAAUUUAAGUAGUUGAGUUUUGGUUGUUUAAUAAACGAAUUAAUGUGC